rnacentral:rRNA from 1 species
GACGAACGCUGGCGGCGUGCCUAAUACAUGCAAGUAGAACGCUGAAGGAGGAGCUUGCUUCUCUGGAUGAGUUGCGAACGGGUGAGUAACGCGUAGGUAACCUGCCUGGUAGCGGGGGAUAACUAUUGGAAACGAUAGCUAAUACCGCAUAAUAGUAGAUGUUGCAUGACAUUUGCUUAAAAGGUGCAAUUGCAUCACUACCAGAUGGACCUGCGUUGUAUUAGCUAGUUGGUGAGGUAACGGCUCACCAAGGCAACGAUACAUAGCCGACCUGAGAGGGGGAUCGGCCACACUGGGACUGGGACAAGGCCCAGACUCCUACGGGAGGCAGCAGUAGGGAAUCUUCGGCAAUAGACGGAAGUCUGACCGAGCAACGCCGCGUGAGUGAAGAAGGUUGUCGGAUCGUAAAGCUCUGUUGUAAGAGAAGAACGAGUGUGAGAGUGGAAAGUUCACACUGUGACGGUAUCUUACCAGAAAGGGACGGCUAACUACGUG